CGAUGGGUGAGUAACACGUAUCCAACCUGCCGUCUACUCUUGGACAGCCUUCUGAAAGGAAAGAUUAAUACAAGAUGGCAUCAUGAGUUCACAUGUUCACAUGAUUAAAGGUAUUCCGGUAGACGAUGGGGAUGCGUUCCAUUAGAUAGUAGGCGGGGUAACGGCCCACCUAGUCUUCGAUGGAUAGGGGUUCUGAGAGGAAGGUCCCCCACAUUGGAACUGAGACACGGUCCAA
rnacentral:rRNA from 1 species